ACGAACGCUGGCGGCAGGCUUAACACAUGCAAGUCGAACGCCCCUCAAGGGGAGUGGCAGACGGGUGAGUAACGCGUGGGAACAUACCCUUUCCUGCGGAAUAGCUCCGGGAAACUGGAAUUAAUACCGCAUACGCCCUACGGGGGAAAGAUUUAUCGGGGAAGGAUUGGCCCGCGUUGGAUUAGCUAGUUGGUGGGGUAAAGGCCUACCAAGGCGACGAUCCAUAGCUGGUCUGAGAGGAUGAUCAGCCACAUUGGGACUGAGACACGGCCCAAACUCCUACGGGAGGCAGCAGUGGGGAAUAUUGGACAAUGGGCGCAAGCCUGAUCCAGCCAUGCCGCGUGAGUGAUGAAGGCCUUAGGGUUGUAAAGCUCUUUCACCGAUGAAGAUAAUGACGGUAGUCGGAGAAGAAGCCCCGGCUAACUUCGU
rnacentral:rRNA from 1 species